rnacentral:rRNA from 1 species
UAAUGGAGGCAACUCUGAACCAGCCAUGCCGCGUGCAGGAUGACGGUCCUAUGGAUUGUAAACUGCUUUUGUACAGGAAGAAACCUCGCUACGUGUAGUGAUUUGACGGUACUGUAAGAAUAAGGAUCGGCUAACUCCGUGCCAGCAGCCGCGGUAAUACGGAGGAUCCGAGCGUUAUCCGGAAUUAUUGGGUUUAAAGGGUUCGUAGGCGGUUGGAUAAGUCAGUGGUGAAAUUUCUUAGCUUAACUAAGACCCGGCCAUUGAUACUGUUUGACUUGAAUAGUAUGGAAGUAACUAGAAUAUGUAGUGUAGCGGUGAAAUGCUUAGAUAUUACAUGGAAUACCAAUUGCGAAGGCAGGUUACUACGUACUUAUUGACGCUGAUGAACGAAAGCGUGGGGAGCGAACAGGAUUAGAUACCCUGGUAGUCCACGCCGUAAACGAUGGAUACUAGCUGUUCGGUUUUCGGACUGAGUGGCUAAGCGAAAGUGAUAAGUAUCCCACCUGGGGAGUACGUUCGCAAGA